rnacentral:snoRNA from 1 species
AUUGGGCAAAUGAGGAAAUCCAGAUAAUAUUUGGAUAAUUUGCAUCUGAAUUCUUUUUGAUGCUAACACCUUGGAGAUCUGAUGCUUAUU